rnacentral:rRNA from 1 species
UACGGGAGGCAGCAGUGGGGAAUAUUGCACAAUGGGCGCAAGCCUGAUGCAGCCAUGCCGCGUGUAUGAAGAAGGCCUUCGGGUUGUAAAGUACUUUCAGUCGUGAGGAAGGUGUUAAGGUUAAUAGCCUUAGCAAUUGACGUUAGCGACAGAAGAAGCACCGGCUAACUCCGUGCCAGCAGCCGCGGUAAUACGGAGGGUGCGAGCGUUAAUCGGAAUUACUGGGCGUAAAGGGCACGCAGGCGGUUAAUUAAGUUGGAUGUGAAAUCCCCGGGCUUAACCUGGGAAUGGCAUUCAAGACUGGUUAGCUAGAGUCUUGUAGAGGGGGUAGAAUUCCAUGUGUAGCGGUGAAAUGCGUAGAGAUGUGGAGGAAUACCGGUGGCGAAGGCGGCCCCUGGGACAAAGACUGACGCUCAUGUGCGAAAGCGUGGGGAGCAAACAGGAUUAGAUACC